rnacentral:tRNA from 1 species
GUCUGUUGCUCAGUGGUAGAGCACUCGCCUGGCAUGUGUGAGGCCCUAGGUUCGAUCCUCAGCACGACA